rnacentral:lncRNA from 1 species
UGUCUAGUAUUUCUUUUAGUCCCACAUCAUAAAAUCACAGGAUCCUCUCCCUCCUAAACAUCUAUAAAAAGGAUCUCAGACUAUAAGAAAAAGGCAUCCAAGAGUGGGAGAGGCAUAGAGAGAAGGCAGCAAGCAUAGCUUUGGGUUGCAGAGAAAGCUUCUAAGAAGGAGAUGCUUAGAAAAGAGUUUUAUUCCUAUGCCAUCUCCACGUCUAUACUAUCUCAAACAUGAGAUCCAAAGAGAA